rnacentral:tRNA from 1 species
GUUUUAGUAAUUUAAAUAAAAUAUUGGUCUUGUAAACCAACAAUAAGUUAUAACUUCUAAAGCU